AAUGAGAGGAAAAAAAAAC
rnacentral:sRNA from 1 species